rnacentral:rRNA from 1 species
CCUACGGGCGGCAGCAGUGAGGAAUAUUGGUCAAUGGACGAGAGUCUGAACCAGCCCAGUAGCGUGAAGGAUGACUGCCCUAUGGGUUGUAAACUUCUUUUAUAUGGGAAUAAAAUGUUCCACGUGUGGGAUUUUGUAUGUACCAUAUGAAUAAGGAUCGGCUAACUCCGUGCCAGCAGCCGCGGUAAUACGGAGGAUCCGAGCGUGAUCCGGAUUUAUUGGGUUUAAAGGGAGCGUAGGUGGAUUGUUAAGUCAGUUGUGAAAUUUUGCGGCUCAACCGUAAAAUUGCAGUUGAAACUGGCAGUCUUGAGUACAGGAGAGGUAGGCGGAAUUCGUGGUGUAGCGGUGAAAUGCUUAGAUAUCACGAAGAACUCCGAGUGCGAAGGCAGCUCACUGGACUGCAACUGACACUGAGGCUCGAAAGUGUGGGUAUCAAACAGGAUUAGAUACCCCUGUAGUC